UCUGUGCUGGACGACCCGCAGAAUUACAUGCAAGGAUCAUAGUCAACCUUAUUCUCUGUUUUAAACUUGCAAAAUCUCAACAACAGCAUUAAAACAGACACUGCAGCUUUAACUCACGGGAACAUGCCAGGUUUGCUGAUGUCCAUUCUCCAGCAGCCGUGCAGGUUAUCCUGGGGAGGGAGGCCGUCGAAGGUAAGUAGCCCUGCUCGCAUGAGAGGGUCACCUCCUCUCCAACCUCAAACACACGUUUCAGGGACGAAAUAUCAACUCCAUCAGAGAAACGAGGCCGGCCACAUACUGCAAGAGAGAAGAAACAAAAAGCCUAAACAAUGAACUCCACUCAUGCAAAACACCACGCUGGAUCUGUUUGCUUAGGGGAGCAGUGGGCUGCCAUUGGGCGGUGCCUGGGGAGUAUUCAGGGGUUAAAGGUCUUCCUCAGGGUCCCAGAGGAUGGGGAUCGAACAGCCUCAGUUCUUCCAGUGGAACCCGGGGCCUCCUCCCUCCCACUGUGGAUCCUGUUGCGUGACAUCAGCCAGGCGAGAAAGAAGGAAGACGAGCGAAUAAGAGUAAAGAUACACAAUAAUACGCAGGACCUGGACCAGAAAUUGGUUCUCCAAAAUAAAACAACCUAACUCUGAAAAAUCUUCAGAAAAUUGUGCUUUCUUUUUCUU